UAGGGAAUCUUCCACAAUGGGCGAAAGCCUGAUGGAGCAACGCCGCGUGUGUGAUGAAGGGUUUCGGCUCAUAAACACUGUUGUAAGAGAAGAAUGACAUUGAGAGUAACUGUUCAAUGUGUGACGGUAUCUUACCAGAAAGGAACGGCUAAAUACGUGCCAC
rnacentral:rRNA from 1 species